rnacentral:rRNA from 1 species
AUACGUAGGUGGCAAGCGUUGUCCGGAAUUACUGGGUGUAAAGGGCGUGUAGGCGGGAAUGUAAGUCAGAUGUGAAAUCCCAGAGCUUAACUCUGGAGCUGCAUCUGAAACUAUGUUUCUUGAGUGCCGGAGAGGAAAGCGGAAUUCCUAGUGUAGCGGUGAAAUGCGUAGAUAUUAGGAAGAACACCGGUGGCGAAGGCGCUUCUCUGGACUGUAACUGACGCUGAGGCUCGAAAGCGUGGGGAGC